AAGAAAUAUUGACGUUGUGCUUUUUUUCCGGAUCAUAUGUUUGGUCAACACGAAUGGAUUUUUAAGUCACUUGGCAAACGAGACACGAAUGACAUGUCCGAUAACUAUAAUAAUUUCUUUAGUCAAGCUAAUAUAAUCGCCCCGCUUAAAGCAUACUAUUGCUAGGCAUGAAUAGUGCAACUUGGAUUUAAAGGCGUUAUCACAGUCAUUACAUGAAAGAGCGGGACUUGAGCAAUAAUUGUAUGUGACCAAAAUGUAUUGCAUACUUAAAUGGCAAGCGUAACUUUGUUAAAAGUCCGAAGAAUUACAAUGUUUUGCAGACAGGAAAAACACUCUUUAAAAGUUACAGAAUAGCAUUACAUAAAGAAAGAUCUUUCUGCGAUCAUUUUCAUUGUUAGACUGUGUAUGGGCUACAUAUCAUUUUAUACAUAUACUAUAUAAUUAUCACUUAUCGCCAGAUAUUGAAAGGGUGAUAGCGUUUAAAAAUGUAUGUAUUUGCUGGGAUCGCAAUCACACUUAACACAUAAAUGUGUAGGUGCAAUUUCCUUGUGUGAUAUAUCAGUAAAACUUGACUGUUGUAUGGUGUUGUUUUGUUUAUCAGACAAACCUAAUUAUCCUGGUACUCGUCUUGAAACAAUUGUUCGGAUUUGCCGCUAUGUUAAAGAAAACAGAAGCUGAGAAAGUCAAGGCCGGUGUGUGGAGUGUGUGUAUCCUUCUGCCCGUGCUCGGCCUCACAUGGGUGUUCGGUAUCUUCGCAGUCAACAAUGACACGCUCGUUUUCCAGUACAUGUUCGCCAUGUUCAACAGCCUUGAGGUACGCGACGCUCUCCGCCAGAGUAAGGUGCCAUGGUUCACAUCGACCGACGAUCGUACCGGUGACCAGAGAUGAGGUCCACGCAGAAAUCUACAUAACACACUGUCAAUGUGUCAACACAGAAAACCACGGUGAUUACAAAGUCAGAGAAUAGGGCGACUGUACAAAUAUGGUUUAUGUUAUAACUGUUUGAUUUGUGAUUAGUGGGUUGUUUUAUUAUAGCAAACGUUUUUUAAUGAUGCAUAACCGUUUUUUAUAUGACUUCUUGUAUUAUAAUGUCAAGUUUUCAUGUCGUUUCAAAAAGUAAAGAUUUACUGUAACGACAUUUUUGUUUACAUUUUUUGUUUGGUAAUGAAUAAUCAAUAUACUUCCGCUUUAUCAUUUGCAGUGUAGAGCUUUUUAUUAUUGCGUUUUUUAAGAUUGUAAUAUAAUUUUGUAAAACAACGACACAGGACGUGCAUUUGUAAGAUAACAAUCUGGACUAUGGUGCUGUAUUGGUACUUUAUUAACGGAGUUUGAUAGUAAAUUUUGCAGUGGCAGUUCGAUCGUGAUACAGUCAGAACAUUUUGAAUGUAUUUGCAAAUUAGUUGUCUAGUAGAUUACCACAAAAGACUAAUACAUUGUGUAUCAAUGACAAAUAUUAGAUUGUUUACUCCGUAAUAAAGUGUAUGCUGGUAAUUUAUUUUGAAAUAGUUAUCAUAUAUGUAAAAUGCAUAUUUUAUUACUCUUUGAAUUAAUUUGAUUUAUGUUUCUUUAAUUCGUAAUACAGUAUGGACAUAAAUCUUUUUCUUUAUUUUUGUUUUUGAAACAUGUUCAUAUUUUGUUUUUGAAACAUGUAGCGUAAGAUUGUAUUUAUUUUCUCUAGUUAAUAAGUUUUUUUUAAGUUUUAUGAUUUACGUUUUCCUAGAUUUUAAAUUGCUUGGAAAUGCUGGUAUUGGGUGGCUAAUAGGUACUUGUCCAGAAAUAUAUUUAUUAUUAUUUCCACAUUGUAAAUUGUUAAUCACAACAUAUUGCAAAAUUGUACAACAUUUUACCAUCCAGUUAACUGUUUACUCUUGGUUAGAUACAUUUACCCCUUGACUGGAUUGAGCGUUUUCUAUAAUAUGACCCUAUUUACAAAAUACUUCGGUUUUUUAAAUGGGAUAUACAUAUAUUGUGACAAUAAGCUUAAUAAAUAUUCUCAAGUGGAUUUUGAUAGUAGAAACAGCAUGAACAGUGUCAAUGAAAGCGCAGAUUGCAUUUUAUCUCAAAUAAUAUGUGUACUCAUCUGGAUAAAAUGGCAGAAACGACAACAAAUCGUUCAGUGACAGGAAACUUCAAUUACGUGUUUUGUCAUUUGUAGUGGGAUUAAAUCCAUUUAUUGUACAUAUUCAUUUUAUAUAAUAUAU